rnacentral:rRNA from 1 species
AGUGAACGCUGGCGGCAGGCCUAAUACAUGCAAGUCGAACGGCAGCACAGUGGAGCUUGCUCCAUGGGUGGCGAGUGGCGGACGGGUGAGGAAUACAUGGGAAUCUGCCCAGUCGUGGGGGAUAACGUAGGGAAACUUACGCUAAUACCGCAUGCGCCCUUCGGGGGAAAGCCGGGGACCUUCGGGCCUGGCGCGAUUGGAUGAGCCCAUGUUCGAUUAGCUAGUUGGCGGGGUAAAGGCCCACCAAGGCGACGAUCGAUAGCUGGUCUGAGAGGAUGAUCAGCCACACUGGGACUGAGACACGGCCCAGACUCCUACGGGAGGCAGCAGUAGGGAAUAUUGGACAAUGGGCGCAAGCCUGAUCCAGCCAGGCCGCGUGAGUGAAGAAGGCCCUCGGGUUGUAAAGCUCUUUUGUCCGGGAAGAAAAGCAUCGGGCUAAUACCUCGGUGUUCUGACGGUACCGGAAGAAUAAGCACCGGCUAACUUCGUG